UGUAACAAGCAGGCUGCAAAAACUGUGCCACUGACAAUAUCCUGAAGGAAAACAAACAAUAACAUCAAAACGCAAAAUGUUUCGCAAACCAAAGUUUUUACGCUCCAAAUAUCACAGGCAAGAUGGUGGAACGUCUGAUUUACAAAGAAAUUAUGGGAAAAUACAAGUGAGGAAAUUAAAGAGGGGGAUAAGGAGCCAUGAGCUGCCGCCACGGAGCAGCACAAACCCUGGAGCACUACCCUCACUGCACAGCACAGCACAGACAUGCACCACUUUCCCGGGUUGUGAAGAGCAAGAGGAUUGUAGUUGUGGAGUGUGUGUUUUGUUUGGGACUGUAAACCUGCCGUGUACCCCCCGAUACCAUCGCUGGUAGAGGGGCGGCUUUAUUAUUUGUUAUUAGUAAAGAAACACGGACGUUUGCAGUGGAAA